rnacentral:rRNA from 1 species
AAUAGAUACCCUGGUAGUCCACGCCGUAAACGAUGUCGACUUGGAGGUUGUUCCCUUGAGGAGUGGCUUCCGGAGCUAACGCGUUAAGUCGACCGCCUGGGGAGUACGGCCGCAAGGUUAAAACUCAAAUGAAUUGACGGGGGCCCGCACAAGCGGUGGAGCAUGUGGUUUAAUUCGAUGCAACGCGAAGAACCUUACCUACUCUUGACAUUCAGAGAACUUAGCAGAGAUGCUUUGGUGCCUUCGGGAACUCUGAGACAGGUGCUGCAUGGCUGUCGUCAGCUCGUGUUGUGAAAUGUUGGGUUAAGUCCCGCAACGAGCGCAACCCUUAUCCUUUGUUGCCAGCGGUCCGGCCGGGAACUCAAAGGAGACUGCCAGUGAUAAACUGGAGGAAGGUGGGGAUGACGUCAAGUCAUCAUGGCCCUUACGAGUAGGGCUACACACGUGCUACAAUGGCGCAUACAAAGAGAAGCGACCUCGCGAGAGCAAGCGGACCUCAUAAAGUGCGUCGUAGUCCGGAUUGGAGUCUGA